rnacentral:rRNA from 1 species
AUUGAACGCUGGCGGCAGGCCUAACACAUGCAAGUCGAACGAGUGGCGGACGGGUGAGUAAUGUCUGGGAAACUGCCUGAUGGAGGGGGAAAACUCGUGGAAACGGUAGCAAAUACCGCAUAACAUCAGAUGUGACCAGAUGGGAGUAGCUUGUUGGUGGGGUAACGGCUCACCAAGGCGACGAUCCCUCUCGGGUCUGAGAGGAUGACCAGCCACACUGGAACUGAGACACGGUCCAGACUCCUACGGGAGGCAGCAGUGGGGAAUAUUGCACAAUGGGCGAAAGCCUGAUGCAGCCAUGCCGCGUGUGUGAAGAAGGCCUUCGGGUUGUAAAGUACUGUCAUCGGGGAGGCGUUACCCGAAGAAGAAGCCCCGGCUAACUACGUGCCAGCAGCCGCGGUAAUUC